CAGACCUGUGGCCUUGGAUAGGCUGUUGGAUCACAACCUCUGUUUUGGGCUCUUUUCAUAAGCUUUGUUCUGGGAACUGCAUACUCAAUCAAUAACAUAUCGUUGCUUGAUAGUUGAUCCUUCUGCUAUUGGCGGCACAGAACAACAUGCGCUGAAGCCAGCAGAGCUAAGGAAAUAAAGGACGUGACAGACCCAAAUCCAAGAAUUACAAGACUUGCAACUUUUCCUCGUCAUUUACAAUUGUCAACUUUUUGACCAGAACUGAAAACUUCUUUACUCAGUCUGGAAAAAAAUGUUAACAUUUUGAUAACAUGGGGCUCCUAGAGAACCUACUGAGAGGCAUCUAUGCCUGU